rnacentral:tRNA from 1 species
GUUGUCGUGGCUGAGUGCUUAUGGCGAUAGGCUAGAAAUCUUUCCGCGCAGGUUCGUAUCCUGCCGACAACG